GUCUACGGCCAUGCCACCCUGAAACAGCCCGAUCCGUCCAAUCUCGGAAGCUAAGCAGGUUCGGUCCUGGUUAGUACUUGGGUGAGAGACCACCUAGGAAGACCAGGUGCUAUAGGUG
rnacentral:rRNA from 1 species